rnacentral:tRNA from 1 species
GCCUUCGUGGUGUAAUGGUCAGCACACUGAGCCGGUAUUUCAGAGGUCCGUGGUUCGAGCCCUGGCGAAGGCA